rnacentral:rRNA from 1 species
AGUGAACGCUGGCGGCAGGCCUAAUACAUGCAAGUCGAACGGCAGCACAGCAGAGCUUGCUCUGUGGGUGGCGAGUGGCGGACGGGUGAGGAAUACAUGGGAAUCUGCCCAGUCGUGGGGGAUAACGUAUGGAAACGUACGCUAAUACCGCAUGCGCCCUUUGGGGGAAAGCCGGGGACCUUCGGGCCUGGCGCGAUUGGAUGAGCCCAUGUUCGAUUGCUAGUUGGCGGGGUAAAGGCCCACCAAGGCGACGAUCGAUAGCUGGUCUGAGAGGAUGAUCAGCCACACUGGGACUGAGACACGGCCCAGACUCCUACGGGAGGCAGCAGUAGGGAAUAUUGGACAAUGGGCGCAAGCCUGAUCCAGCCAUGCCGCGUGAGUGAAGAAGGCCCUCGGGUUGUAAAGCUCUUUUGUCCGGAAAGAAAAGCAUUCGGUUAAUACCCGGGUGUUCUGACGGUACCGGAAGAAUAAGCACCGGCUAACUUCGUG